rnacentral:rRNA from 1 species
CCUACGGGUGGCAGCAGUAGGGAAUAUUGCUCAAUGGGGGAAACCCUGAAGCAGCAACGCCGCGUGGAGGAUGAAGGUUUUCGGAUUGUAAACUCCUUUUGUUAGAGAAGAUAAUGACGGUAUCUAACGAAUCAGCACCGGCUAACUCCGUUCCAGCCGCCGCGGUAAUACGGAGGGUGCAAGCGUUACUCGGAAUCACUGGGCGUAAAGGGCGCGUAGGCGGGAUAGCAGGUCAGAUGUGAAAUCCUAUGGCUUAACCAUAUAACUGCAUUUGAAACUGUUAUUCUAGAGUAUGGGAGAGGUAGGUGGAAUUCUUGGUGUAGGGGUAAAAUCCGUAGAGAUCAAGAGGAAUACUGAUUGCGAAGGCGACCUGCUAGAACAUAACUGACGCUGAUGCGCGAAAGCGUGGGGAGCAAACAGGAUUAGAUACCCUGGUAGUC